GUCAAGCUUCCAAGAAAAGCCCUAUACCCGUUAAGGCAUGAUGGCCUGUACCCGAAACCGACACAGGUGGGGUUGUAGAGAAUACCGAGGGGCGCGAGGUAACUCUCUCUAAGGAACUCGGCAAAAUGGCCCCGUAACUUCGGGAGAAGGGGUGCCACCGCGAGGUGGUCGCAGUGAAGAGGCCCAGGCGACUGUUUACCAAAAACACAGGUCUCCGCUAAGUCGCAAGACGAUGUAUGGGGGCUGACGCCUGCCCAGUGCCGGAAGGUUAAGGAAGCUGGUCAGCGCAAGCGAAGCUGGCGACUGAAGCCCCGGUGAACGGCGGCCGUAACUAUAACGGUCCUAAGGUAGCGAAAUUCCUUGUCGGGUAAGUUCCGACCCGCACGAAAGGCGUAACGAUCUGGGCGCUGUCUCGGAGAGAGGCUCGGCGAAAUAGAAUUGUCUGUGAAGAUGCGGACUACGUGCACCCGGACAGAAAGACCCUAUGAAGCUUUACUGUAGCUUGGUAUUGUGCUCGGGCUCGGAAUGCGCAGGAUAGGUGGGAGGCUUUGAUCCAUUGCUUGCGGGUGAUGGUGAGCCACUGGUGAGAUACCACUCUUUCCGAGCUAGAGUUCUAACAGCAACCCGUUAUCCGGGUGCUGGACAGUAUCAGGUGGGCAGUUUGACUGGGGCGGUCGCCUCCUAAAAGGUAACGGAGGCGCGCAAAGGUCUGCUCAGGCUGGUUGAAAUCAGCCGACGAGUGUAAAAGCAGAAGCAGGCUUGACUGUGAGACCUACAAGUCGAACAGGGGGGAAACUCGGCUUUAGUGAUCCGACGGUUCUGCGUGGAAGGGCCGUCGCUCAACGGAUAAAAGUUACUCUAAGGAUAACUGGCUGAUCUCCCCCAAGAGUUCACAUCGACGGGGAGGUUUGGCACCUCGAUGUCGGCUCAUCGCAACCUGGGGCUGAUGUCGGUCCCAAGGGUUGGGCUGUUCGCCCAUUAAAGCGGUACGCGAGCUGGGUUCAGAACGUCGUGAGACAGUUCGGUCCAUAUCCGGUGCACGCGCAGGAAUAUUGAGAGGAUUUCUCCCUAGUACGAGAGGACCGGGAGGAACGCACCUCUGGUGUGCCAGUUAUCGUGCCAACGGUAAACGCUGGGUAGCCAUGUGCGGAAUGGAUAACCGCUGAAAGCAUCUAAGUGGGAAGCCCACCUCAAGAUGAGUAUUCCCAUGGCAUAAGCCAGUAAGGUCACGGGAAGAACACCCGUUGAUAGGCUCUACGUGGAAGCGCAGUAAUGUGUGAAGCGGAGGAGUACUAAUAGACCGAGGGCUUGAU
rnacentral:rRNA from 1 species